rnacentral:rRNA from 1 species
UACGAAGGGGGCUAGCGUUGCUCGGAAUUACUGGGCGUAAAGCGCACGUAGGCGGAUUGUUAAGUCGGGGGUGAAAUCCUGGAGCUCAACUCCAGAACUGCCUUCGAUACUGGCGAUCUCGAGUUCGGGAGAGGUGAGUGGAACUGCGAGUGUAGAGGUGAAAUUCGUAGAUAUUCGCAAGAACACCAGUGGCGAAGGCGGCUCACUGGCCCGAUACUGACGCUGAGGUGCGAAAGCGUGGGGAGCGAACCGG